GAGAGAGAGAGAGAAGAAAGACAGUGUUUAUAAAGCCUGCCUUCCUGGUCUACCCCACUGGGGCUGGAUAGUUCGAUUUCCACAGCUCCAAGGUACAAGGUGCAAGAGUUAAGGUGGUUGAUUGGUCCCCAGCCUCAGCGACAAGAAGUGAGCAGAGGGGAUGCUCUGUGAUGUUGCUUGUUCAACCUGAUUCCCUCCACCCUCCCAGAGGCAGGGGAACCCCCGUCCCCCGCCAACCCACAGUGAUAACAUCUCUCAGGCUUCCUCCUUUGUUGGGUACAGAGGAGGUAGCCACACACAAAAAAAGGGGUGGUGGGUAGGUAGGGAAGGGGGAACUAUAAAUAAUCCAAAGAGGUGGCUAGAAAGGCAGAGAGGACAUGAUGCGAGAGAGAAAGUUUAUGCUUUCAUAUAAAAGGCAUGAGCCACUUGACUUAGGGUAAUCUGAAGGAUCUUUCGUUUGUUUGAUUGAUUUUCCUUUUUGAUUAUUCUCUGAAAUCUGAAGUCUAGGGUUGCCUAAAAGAUGGUGAGUUCUUCUUAUCUCCAAUUUUUCCUGAGGUAGGAAGAACACCAUGGAAUAAGGAGAAAGGAGAUACAAGUAGCCUCUCCAGGAAGAAUGUGACUGAAUACUUUUUAUACAAAACCACAAAAUUAGAUAAAUAUGUAUUUAAGUGUUAUUCCUGAAAGCUGGAGAAAGAAAUCUUACUUCUAAGAAUUGUUUAGCGAAGGAAUAAGAAAAUGUGAUGCUUGGAAGAAAAAACACACUGCCGAGAGGCCUUGCGCUGAGUGUGCUGAACAAUAGACAACCUCUAAGGAUGCUCGCCUGCAAUUCCGGCUCUGCCAUCAAUUCACUGUAUGCCUUUGGGUAAGUCACUUAACCUUUCUGAGUCUCAGUUUCCCCAUGGGCAAAAUGGUGGUUAUUAUAAUAACCCUCUUACCUGUAUUUUGCAAAGAACAAUGAUUACAAAUGAAUGCAAAUCAUCUUGUGUGUGUUAAGAAUGACAUACAAGUGCUAAGAAAUAGCAUAAGCUUGUAGUUCACAAUACACUUUUCAAGAAACAACAGGCAGAUGUUGCAAGCAUAGAAUGAUAACAAGAAUUAGGGACCACCAAGCCAAUUACAACCAAGGGAAUCCUUUAGAAAAAAUUCUUGAGUCACUGGACCAAAAUGGCCAAGUGGGAAGGGAGAAUUAACUCUCAUUUUUUAAUUUAAAUUAUUAUCAGAAAUAAUGUUGGGGUAACAAACCAUAACAUAUACUUAGUUUGAGUUAGUCUAAAAUUCUUCUAGAAAUAUUGAUUGAGCGUUACAUGUUUUCUAUGUGGAAAGCAAAUACACAACUAAGAGAAGGUAUUUCAUGUAAAAAAAAAAAACAGGAUGUCUUGUUUAGGAUUUAUAAUGCGUAUCUUGUUCUGUAAUGCAGGAAGAUUUCACAGGUAGCUUUUUAAAAGAAUGAAAGAACAUGUAAUGAUUAACUAAAAGUAUUCAGUAAUGCUUUACUUUAGUUUGGACCUAAGUGGAACAUUCUUUAUUUGUACUGUAUUUUUUAAUAAAAUUGAAUACUUGACAUGCAAUAACCUAUGCUUUUGCAUCCACAUUUACUUCUGAAGAAUCAAAAUUUUCAGGUUUAAAAACAAGUUAUAUCUAAAAGCACACUUAAAGUCGUAUACAGUCAUAUAUUCUCUUUAAUUGAAUCUCAAAGAUGAAAAAAUGACAAAUGAAGAGCAUAUAAUAUGACAGCAAAAGUUUAAUAACCUACACACAGACAGAAUUAUUACAAAUCAAUAAGACAAACAAGUCAGUAGGAAAAGACAGUUGGAAUGAACAAGCAAUUAGAAAAAAUAAUAAAUACAAUGUCUAACUCACAUGAAAAAGUAUUUAAUCUAAAUAAUAAACUAACAUAAAUACUCUGUGCUAUACAUCAGGUAGUAGAUGAAUGAAUACAUUGAUACUUUCUGAAGAAACAACCAGAAGUAACUAUCAUACACUAUAAAAAGUGCUGUGCCUUUAUCUCAACCACUUCAUUUCUUGGAAUUUGUGGUUAAAAAAAAAUCAUCAUUAUUAUUAUUAUUGUACCCUAAGAUUUAACUAUGGGGAUAAAUAUUACAGCAUCAUUAAAUUGAGUAAAUGGGAACAAUUCUAAGUGUGCGACACUGGAGCAGUUGGUUAAAUACACUAUGAUAUGUGUAUACCAUGCAAUAUUAUAAAGCUGAUAGAAAAGACGCUGUGAUGGAGAGGAAUGAAAUGUCAGGCAGGAUAGGGUAGAGUAUGCUGUAACAUAACAAAAACACAAAAAUGUUAGAGGCUUAUAACAACCAAGGUUUAGUGCUCAUCAUAUUCCAGGUCCCUCUUGGCAGCAGGGAGCUCUGCUCCGCAUCCCCUCACUGUGUGACCCAAGAAUACAACAGCCACCAUCUCAAACAAGGCUGCACUGCAGCAGAGUCAAAGAGCGCUCCAAGCUGGCCUCCCCAACCAAGUAGCCACUUGGCGCAUGUUGCUAUUGAGUACUUGGAAUGGGGCUUGGGUGAAUUGAGAUUGCUGUAAGUGCUAAAUACAUAUCUCAUUGCCAAGACUUUGUCCAAAUAACAAUAGUAAUUAUAAAAGGAUAUAAAAUAACCUCAAUAAUUUUAUAUUGAUUUCAUGUUGAAAUUGUAUUUUAAAUAUCUUAUGUUAAAGAAGAUACAUUGUUAAAAUUAAUUUCACCUGUUUCUUUUACAUUUUUAAUGUGUUACUAGAAACUUGAAAAUUACACAUCUGACUUAAGUCUGUGGGAGCCACAGUGCUCUAGAGGGUCUUGCACUGGCAAUUGAAUGCUGCACCUCAUUGGCUAGAAUCAGUCACAUGACCACACCCAAUCUCAGGAAGGCCAGAAAAUGCAAUCCCACAAUGCAGCUGGAAGACAGCUAACUGGAAAUCAAUGCUGAGAAGUCCUAAGAAAUGCCACAGGAAGAGAAAGAGGCAGGGGGCCGGCAGAGGCCAGAACAAAUUUUGGAAAGUAUAUUUAAGAUCAUCUGGGUUAAAUACGUGUUACCCGACAUCCAAAAAUUACUUGGAAAGCCCUUGAGAAUACCUCCAGGAUCUAAGCAGUCAACCUCUAAAGCAACCAUUAAUAAAAUGGAGUCAUGAGACUGCCCUAUAACAGCUUGUGGAGAAAGAAAUGUCUCGCAUAUCACAAUAGUGUGGACAAAGAAGAUCAGCAACAAUUUGGGCAAAAUACAUACACACACGCACAUACACACACACACACACACACAAAGACAGACAUUCGCUAACUUUGGUUUGCUAUUGAGCUGCUUCUUAUCUGGGCAAUUCUACAUAGUACACUCUAGGAUACCAAGCAACUAUUUGGGCAAAAUACACACAUACACAUACAAAUACACACAUACACAUACAAACACACACACACACAUACACAGGCAGACAUUCGCACACUUUGAUUUGCUAUUGAGCUGCUUCUUAUCUGGGCUACUCUGUGUAGUACACUCCGUGGUGAGAAGCAACAGGGAUUUAUUGAUUGAUCAGUCAAUGAGUAUUGUUCUCCUGAGAAAAGCUGAGAGGUCGGCAAGUGCACGCAAAUGUGCAGAUCAUCUACAAGACAUGAAUGAUGUUCAGAAUUACUUGUCAUGCCCUUUGCUUGGGGCUGAAAACAAGAUGCAGUCACACAGAUUUCAAUGGAGUGUGUACUCUAGAGGCAGACUGCCUGGGAUCAAAAUGCUUGCAGUAUAACCAUUGACAGCUUCCAUAACUUAUCUCUUCCCAGGUUAAUCAACCUGUAAAAUGGGGUAAUAUCUGCUCCUCCCUCAUAGGGUUGUGCAUAAAAAUCUCAUGAGAUUAUAGGUGUAGAGAGGUGAGAACCCACAGAAACCUUUCCAUAAAUGCUACCUAUUAUUAUUAAAUUCUAGCUUUCUUUCAGUUUUCAAAUUUAAAGUAAAGACUAAAAUCAGCUGAGAUAUACUGCAAUCUCCAGCUAAUGUUUGGAGAAGCAUUAGUAGUAUUCCCUUCAUCUUUCCUCAUCCCCUCCUUUUAAAGAACUCUAACUGGGAACAUGCAUUUAUUUCCCUCAUAUCUGUACAAGCCAUUGAUUUGCCAGGAGAGAAAUACAAAGACUUUCACAUUUUUGCUGCUCUCUCUCCUGAAUUAAUACUCCACUUCUGAAUUUAAGGCAGCAAAACUCCAUUCAGUGUUUUAAGAGUGGGUAAAAUAUAUAGAAAUGAGAAUAGCUUUGACAAGUUAACAUCCAUGUGAAUGAGACUAGAGAAAUAACAUUCUGUAUAUGAGUGCUUUUCUUCUAAAUCAUCUUACCAACUUUCAAGUGAUUAGACAAUUUUGUUUCAUUCCCUUCAAACUUACAAAUUAAUAUUUUUAAGAGAUGGAGUUAAUAACCAGUUAAAAACUAUAAAGGCUUCCUCAAUUGAAGGUCGGAGCUUUGCUAUCUAAAACUGACUUAGAGUUACAAUAAAAAUAGCAAUAUCAUGAAAUGCUAUAUUUGUAUUUCUCAGUUCAAUUGCUUUUUAUUUUCAAACAGUAUGCAACUAAGACAUGCCUGAGUGAAGUUUCCUAGGAGCCAGAUAAUUAAUCCAACAUUUAUCUGAAAUGCUGAACUAACUUGCAUAAUUCUUCAAAUGAAUAUCACACCUUCGAUGGGGACAUACAAAUUGUUUCAACCUGAGGCUUGAAAAUAUGUGUCAUAAAGCAUUCUGAUUUAUCAAGAACACGUUGUAAUUUGUUGCAUUUGGAAUGUAGCUACCUAACUUCCUGAAUAUUUUAAUAAAAUACCUGUAAAAUUACACAAUCAAAACUAUACCUCCACCAAGCAAAGUGACAGAGAUGGUACUAACAUCAACAAAAAGGUAAGAGAAUGGUAAAUUUCAAAAGGUUCUAGCUGUUUCCGUACUCUCUGUACUCUUACCGUGAAAUCAAGCGCUGAAAAAGAUUCUAGGCUUAAAAUUCAAUUAAAGCAAACACUUUUGACAAUUAUUUUACUAUUUGAUGUAAAAAAAUAGAUUUUUUUGUCUAGUGCUUUAGUUCUUUGCCUCUUUUUAAUUUUUUCUUAUGUAUGGUUUUAUUUUAAAGUUCCACUGAGGCAAUAUACAUAUGCCAGGCAGAAAAUGCAGAUAUUAAGGGAUUUUAUUCAUAACAGGCUAAAUUUGUCUCUUGUGAAAGAUAAAAACACUUUAAAGUUGAUGAGUCUAUGAUUUUAAGUAAAAUCCUCAUUCAAAUGUGAUUGCUUUAUAGGUUUAACUCUGGUCAGAGCAAUUUGUGUUCUUUCUAUAUAUUACUCCAACUAUAAUAAAGCUGUUUAUGCAAAUGUGAAAUUGUUGCUAUUGCAGAAUCUUUCCAACCAUGUAAGGUUGUAAUGUUAAAUUCCCAUUCACGAUCAAAAUUCCACAUAUUUACAACCUGCAAACAUCCCAAAUUCACACUUCAACAUCUGUGUGGCUGCCAACUUCUACUGAAAUCUGUAGCAUGCUUUUUUAGAAGUGGAGGAAAAAAGAAUAAAAAACCUGAGGUAAGUGCAAAUCAAUAAUGAUGCUAAAUAUUUACCAAAUGUUUGUUAUGAAAUAUAUUUUAUUAAUUGAUAACACUUAGAAACUGAUUAGGGAUGCAAAAGCCUUAAAAAGUUUGCAGAAUUUUUAUAGCAGACUGUGGUUCAUGAAUUUAAAGCAUGCCAAAAACACACGACAUGCACAAUUCUUGAACACAAGCCUUAAAAGUUUUUUCAUUUACAAUAUUCAAUUUCUCCAAAUUCCUUUUAUUAUACAAACUUUGAAAUUGUUCUGAUAAUGAGUAUUGCUGCACUCUUAAUAAAACCUUUGUCUUCUCAUAUUCUGUCUCAUUGAAAAAGUCAAAAGUUCUGUCAUAUCUAGUAUGCUAAAUACCUUCAAAGUAAAUAACUUAAAAUAAUGUAUAAUAUUUUCCCAGAUCUUUUAAAAAUAGUUUAAGUAAUGUUUCAUGUUUCUGCACAUGUUAACUGGAUUAUGAAUUAGUAUUUUAAUGGGAUUAUGAAUUAUUAAAACUCAGACCAUAGUAUCCAUAGACAACUCAAUUUCUUUUCAGACUGUUUGUUUAUCACAUCUGUUAUUCCUUCAACUGUAUUCUGGUCCCUCUGAAUUUGGAGGUAUUUGAGGAAGUCGAUAGGUUUUGCAGGGAAAGUGAGUAAAAUGGUAGGCUGCUCCAACACAAGAGCCAGUUGCUGCCUUUUGGAGGAAAAGGAAUUACAAGUUACACACAAAAAAUGACUGUGUGCUACUCUGCUGCACAUCUGGUCACUCUGGAGGGUCUUACUCUGCUUCGAUGCUUGCACCAUGAUGUCCUCAAGUGACUAUGGCUCUCUACCCUGGAAUCUUUCUAUUCUCUAGUCCGUUCCCUACAAGACUCAGUUAGAGAUACCUCCUCCAUCGGGGCUGCCUUGUCUAUUAUCCCAUACUUAACCACUGUAUUUCAAGGACAGCUAUCAUUUCCCCUGAAUAACAUGUUGUAGUCUUAUUUCUGCCAGUAAAUCUGUGUUGCCCUUCAUCAUGUGGUCUUUCUGAGCCUCAGUUUGCUCAUUUGUAAAACAUGAAUACCUUAUAAUAAUAAGUAACAUCUUCCUUGUUAUUUGGCCAUUAUUACUUUUGUAAAUUCCACUGCACCUCCUUCACUCACGAGUAAUUUUUGCAUAAAUGACUAAAUGCACAUGGAAUAUUCAGACAAGGAAGCUAUAUCACUGCAUUCUGCUGAUGCACAGUUUUGUUAUGUUUUGUUUUGAUUUUUUUUUGGUUGUAUCUUACAACCAAGUAAAAAUAAACACUACUGGGAUGUUGAGGCCCAAAUGCAGUAGAAAUAAAUAGGAGGCGAUGCAUUUUAGUUUGAAAAUCAGUUCCAGAGUACAGUAUUUAUACAUCUGAGAGGCAUUUGUAUUAAGCACCCACAAGGUCCAGGCUGGGCUCUGAUGACACAAAGAUUUUUUUUAAAAGUCCCAAUACCUAAUAAGCUCACAGGCUUACAGUAUUGGCAAGAGGGAAGUGAGAGAUGAUGGACGUUUAAAAAAUACAGUACACAUUUCAAUCAAUACUGUGAGAGACUUGAGUACGUAUUCUAUGAGAGCACAAGAAAUGGAGAAACUAAUUUUACCCCUGGGAGGGUGGGUGCAAGUUGGGGAAGCCUGAGAGGAUUCUGAAAGCGGAAAAAGCGGUCAGGCAUUUGACUAGUAGUGGCUGCUAGCCUUGAUUCACCCAGCUUCUUGCUAAGAUAAUUAUGAAGACGGGGAAGAUAAGAAUUUAUACUAUCACCAGCUAAUAAGUAACAGAUAGUAAGUUGCAGAGCCCAUCAAGCCAGGAUCAUCCUACGUUUUUUUGGUGG
rnacentral:lncRNA from 10 species